AUUUACAAUGAACCCUUUAUUUUUACUGAAUAUUUCUAUAAAGUUAUAGAACCUUUUAUGUUGAAACUAGUAACAAGAAGUUAAACUUCUCCUCAAUAUAAGUAUAAGUCGACUAGGAUAAACCAUCGACAAUUAACGCUUAAAUUAAAUGUAUUAACUCCACAAGAAAAACUUACAUUACCCCACGUUAAUCUUACACCAGAACAUUUAAGGAAAGAUUUAAAAAAAAGGAAGGAACUCGGCAAACAUUAACCCCGCCUGUUUACCAAAAACAUCGCCUUCUGAUAUAUUAUAGAAGGUCCAGCCUGCCCAGUGAAUUAAUUUAACGGCCGCGGUAUCCUAACCGUGCGAAGGUAGCGUAAUCACUUGUUCUUUAAAUGAGGACUAGUAUGAAUGGCACCACGAAGGUUAUACUGUCUCCCUUUUUUGAUCAGUUAAACUAAUCUUCACGUGAAGAAGCGUGAAUAAACAUAUAAGACGAGAAGACCCUAUGGAGCUUAAAAUUACACAACAAUUGUUAAAAAAAUCCUAAAUUUUAUAAAUAAUUUUUUACUAAACACCAUGAUUGCUAAUUUUUGGUUGGGGUGACCGCGGAGUAAAAAUUAACCUCCACAAUGAAAGAAAUCAAUAUUCUAAACUAAGAGCUACAACUCAAAGUAUUAAUAUUUUAACAUUCUUUGAUCCAAUAUUUGAUCAACGAACAAAGUUACCCUAGGGAUAACAGCGCAAUCUACUUUGAGAGCUCCUAUCGACAAGUAGGUUUACGACCUCGAUGUUGGAUCAGGGUAUCC
rnacentral:rRNA from 1 species